rnacentral:tRNA from 1 species
UCCCUAGUGGCUCAGAUGGUAAAGCGUCUGUCUGCAAUGCAGGAGACUUGGGUUUGAUCCCUGGGUUGGGAA